rnacentral:misc_RNA from 1 species
UGGUUCUGGCAUCGAUGAAGAACGCAGCGAAAUGCGAUAAGUAAUGCGAAUUGCAGAAUUUCCGUGAGUCAUCGAAUCUUUGAACGCACAUUGCGCCCUUUGGUAUUCCGAAGGGCAUGCCUGUUCGAGCGUCAUUAUCCUCUCUCAAGCCCCCUCGGGGAUUUGGUGUUGGACCGCGUUGGACCGUUCGCGGCCAACUGGUCUCAAAGACAAUGACGGCGUCCGUGGGACCCUCUUCGCACUGAGCUUUCCGGAGCACGCGUCGAGUUGCAAGGUCCCGGGGACCCGGUCACCUAUUUAUUUUUCUCAGGUUGACCUCGGAUCAGGUAGGAAUACCCGCUGA